rnacentral:rRNA from 1 species
AUAUUUCACAAUGGGCGAAAGCCUGAUGCAGCGACGCCGCGUGGGGGAUGAAUGCNUUNNGGUUGNANACCCCUUUCAGCAGGNNNNNAGCGAGAGUGACCGUACCUGCAGAAAAAGCGCCGGCUAACUACGUGCCAGCAGCCGCGGUAAUACAUAGGGCGCAAGCGUUAUCCGGAAUUAUUGGGCGUAAAGAGCGCGUAGGCGGUCAGUCGAGUCUGCUGUGAAAACCAGAGGAUCAACCUCGGGCCUGCAGUGGGUACGGGCUGACUAGAGUGCGGUAGGGGAGACUGGAAUUCCUGGUGUAGCGGUGGAAUGCGCAGAUAUCAGGAGGAACACCGAUGGCGAAGGCAGGUCUCUGGGCCGCAACUGACGCUGAGGAGCGAAAGCAUGGGGAGCGAACAG